GCGCCCUUGGCGCAGGUCCCUGGUCGGCAGGACGCUCCAGUUGCCGACCAGGGGAGGAGUUCAGCGGGUCCCGUGCUUGCACGCCCCGCUAUAGUUGUGCGGCGGUCAGAUCGGCCGCUCAUCCGACCCCAGCCCCCUAGCUCCGCGGCGGGGAGCAGUCAGGGAGCCCCGGGGUCGGCUCUGCCUAGGCCAGCCGAUGCUGGCCUUCCGGGCCUAUCAGGCUCGGAGGAACGGGUGCCCUAUGCACCC
rnacentral:lncRNA from 1 species